CAACCCAAUCAGUUAUUGCCCAAUUUCUAGAAGCCCAAAACUUGAAGCCCUAUUAACCAUCUAUUAUAAGCUAUUUCAAACUUACAAACCUUAAUCCUACACCCCUAAUAGCCGCCUACCUCCUCUUUUCUCUUUUGGUGAAAGUUACCUCACCCCAUCAGCCAUGUCAGAACUUGCUAAUCCGAUUUCGUGUAAGAUUUUUUGAUAUCUAUAAAACAUCCUGACUUCUCUUAUUCUCAUCUUUGCUACAAGAUUCGAUCAACCCAAAAAUAGCAUAAAGAUCCAAGAAAAGAGUUCAUAAAAUCUGAUUUGCUGAGCAAAGGAGUUCAUGUGACGUGUCAGAUUUCAAACGACUCUUUAAAUUCUCGCUCAUGAAACCCUAGUUGUUUUCUCCUAAAAAUACUCCUAAAACCUUCAGCCGAAAACCAAGCUGGAAUUAUCAGAAAAAUCCAAAAAAAGAAAAAUUCAAUUUAUAUCUACUCUACUUUUCUUUUAAUCUCAAACUUUACAAUUUGUGAAUUUUUUUUCAAUAUUUAGUCUUUAUUUUUUUAUUCUCGAUAACUAAGGAGUAAUAGAUCUAAGACCUUAAAGUCCUAGUUCAUUGCCCCACAAAAGGUAAAUUUUACUCUAUUCUAUUUAUUUUUUGAUGUUAAACUACUACGUUUUAGAAAUAAUGCGUUAGGAUUUUUGUAUUACAGAAUGUUGGUGUAGAUUUGUUUCUACCGUGAAUCUUGAAUAGCA
rnacentral:lncRNA from 1 species